rnacentral:rRNA from 1 species
CCCUUAGAUGUUCUGGGCCGCACGCGCGCUACACUGAUGCAUUCAACGAGUCUAAAACCUGCUCUGAUAGGGGUGGGUAAUCUUUUGAAUGUGCAACGUGAUUGGGAUAGAUGAUUGCAAUUUUUCAUCUUCAACGAGGAAUGCCUAGUAAACGCAAGUCAUCAGCUUGCAUUGAUUACGUCCCUGCCCUUUGUACACACCGCCCGUCGCUCCUACCGAUUGAAUGAUCCGAUGAAUAUCAUGGAUUGAGGAUGCAAGUAGGUUCGCCUAUCUUCAUCUUCGAGAAGUGAAGUAAAUCUUAUCAUUUAGAGGAAGGAGAAGUCGUAACA